rnacentral:rRNA from 1 species
CCUUCUACAGCAUUAGGGGAGCCUGUCCUAUAAUCGACAACCCACGUUACUCCUCACUCCCCCUUGAAUUCGCAGCCUGUAUACCUCCGUCGCCAGCCUACCUUUAAGAGAACUAAAGUAGGCAACAAGGUAUCCCUAUUAUGGGCGCUACCGCCCAGAUAACUCUACCCCUAUGACAGGUCAAGGUGCAGCUUAUGGAAGAGAAAGAGAUGGGCUACAAUUCCAUAAAAGACUAAUGGACCCUCUUAGGAAACUGAGAGAUGAAAAUGGACUUAAGAGUAAAAGCACCAUUAACACAGUGCUUUGAAACGCUCCCUAGAAGGUGCACAAAUC